GAAUCAACCCCCAAGAAAAAGCUUCUAACUUUAAUCUUAAGCAACUAAUGUUUUUGAUUCU
rnacentral:tRNA from 1 species